ACGAACGCUGGCGGCGCGCCUAACACAUGCAAGUCGAACGAGUGAGAGGGAGCUUGCUCCCUCAAGCGAGUGGCGAACGGGUGAGUAACGCGUGAGGAACCUGCCUCAAAGAGGGGGACAACAGUUGGAAACGACUGCUAAUACCGCAUAAGCCCACGACCCGGCAUCGGGUUGAGGGAAAAGGAGCAAUCCGCUUUGAGAUGGCCUCGCGUCCGAUUAGCUAGUUGGUGAGGUAACGGCCCACCAAGGCGACGAUCGGUAGCCGGACUGAGAGGUUGAACGGCCACAGUGGGACUGAGACACGGCCCAGACUCCUACGGGAGGCAGCAGUGGGGAAUAUUGCACAAUGGGGGAAACCCUGAUGCAGCGACGCCGCGUGGAGGAAGAAGGUCUUCGGAUUGUAAACUCCUGUUGUUGAGGAAGAUAAUGACGGUACUCAGCAAGGAAGUGACGGCUAACUACGUGCCAGCAGCCGCCGCGG
rnacentral:rRNA from 1 species